UACGCAGGGCGCAAGCGUUGUCCGGAAUUAUUGGGCGUAAAGAGCUCGUAGGUGGUUUGUUACGUCUGCUGUGAAAACCUAGGGCUUAACCCUGGGCCUGCAGUGGAUACGGGCAGACGUAGAGGUAGGUGAGGGGAGAAGUGGAAUUCCCGGUGGUAACGGUGAAAUGCGCAGAUAUCGGGAGGAACACCGGUGGCGAAGGCGGUUCUCUGGGCCUUACCUGACACUGAGGAGCGAAAGCGUGGGGAGCGAACAGG
rnacentral:rRNA from 1 species